GGACAGACAUGUGGGUGGAGCAUUAAGCAGAGCUACCUCUGCCACUGGGGCACAGAGGAACCCAGGAAGAACUGGCUGCAAACAAAAGCUAUCCAAAUCUUGGAAAAUACACUCAAAUGAGCUAGGCAAUCCCAUGUGAUCUGUGCCCUCAUCUGGAGUUGUGUGCUCUGAUCACUUGCUUCAAAAACUUCCCUAGAGGAGUGGACAACAGACUUUGCCUUUUGAAAAUCAGAAGCUAAAGAAGUCUUUGAUUUAUCCAUUUACUACUCUUUGAUGACUGCAGUUUCUCUCAUUUAGAGAAAGACAUUGUCCUUGGAUUUCAGUCCAGUUCCAGGCGGAUGGCUGUCCUCAUCCCAAAGCCUGCCAUAACAAUUUGCUAAGAAAGCUGAAUCAUUUGCCUUCUACUUUGGGAAGUUGUUCCUGCAGUCAUGAAUAAGGUUCCUGUGUGUAAGCCUGUUAAGAAAAACAAGAAGUCAGCUUAUCCUUCAGAUCCGACAGCAGCCGCUGCACAGCUCUAGGGCUUUUUGCAUGUACCAGGCAGGGUAACAUCUGCUCCGAAGACUGGCUUUGGUUCUGGAGGGAUUCCUGCAGCCCAGGAUCACAAGCCCCUUUGGCAGCCUUCUUGAUGCAGGGGAUGGGAGGUCCUGCGGGGAGGGUUCCUCAAGCCACCGCUGUAGAGCCCCAGGGAACGGGGAGCAUCCACUGCAGGGGUGCGGACACUGAGCUGGGUGCUGCCUGGUUGCAGGGGAGGGACCAGCAGCCCCGGCAUGUUCAGAGCAACCUGUGUCACCAAGGGGGUUAUUAUAAGCAGUGUUUUCCUUUGUUGUUUCCAUUAGAUCAAAACAUAGUUUGUGCCCUCUCUCUUGGACCAAGCAAAACAUUGCAUACACUUGAUUUAUUACAAGGGCAUGCUGCACACAAGUAUCUUUCUUUGUAUUAUGUAUUUAUUUCACAAUAGAGCCCAAUAGAAAAUGCUAUUUACUUUGUCUGUGAUGGGUUUUGUGAGUGCUGUUUGUAAAACAAGUAAACAAAACAAAAAAAAACGUAGUUUUGCUGUUUAUCCCAAGUGCUGCUGAUAGGUUUGCAGUAGACAAAUC